UACGGAAGGGGCAAGCGUUGUUCGGAAUCAUUGGGCGUAAAGGGCGCGCAGGUGGCUCUGUAUGUCUGCCGUGAAAGCAUACAGCUCAACUGUAUUGUGUCGGUAGAAACUGCAGGACUUGAGGCUGGGAGGGGCUGGUGGAAUUCCCUGUGCAGCGGUGAAAUGCGUAGAGAUGGGGGAGAACACUCGUGGCGAAGGCGGCCAGCUAGACCAGUUCUGACACUGAGGCGCGACAGCGUGGGGAGCAAACAGG
rnacentral:rRNA from 1 species